GGAUUGUGGCUUAAUGGGAGAGUGCUUGCCUGGCAUGUGUGAGGCACUGGGUUUGAUUCUCAGCACCA
rnacentral:tRNA from 1 species